UCUCUGCACUGCGGAGUGACAUCAGGUGACUGCGCACCGUUGACCCGGCCUGACCGCUCUCACGCGCUCCGGUCAGCCCCAGAGCAAAACGACGCCACGAUGAGUUUCGCACGACAUGAAAGACAGCGGAGUGGACAGCAGCAGACGGCCAGACAACUUCCUGAUGUGUGCAACGACUACAACCGUAAGGGAGGAUGCACCCGCUCCUGGUCCAGUUGCCAUGAACUGCACUUGUGCACGUACUUCCUUCAAAACAGAUGCACAGACGAGCGAUGCAACAAGGCCCACGCCCUGGAGACGCCCAGAAACAUCCUGCUGCUCGAGGGUCUCGGAUGGCAGGGUUCCGACGACCUGGCUCUGGCGCUGGACAUCCUCCGCCGGCGGGCUCGAGGUCAGGCGACAAGCAUCUGCGUCAUGUACAACGAAGGCAUCUGCAACGACCCCAGCUGUGGACGGCUUCACAUCUGCUACCGUCGUGUAGUGGAUACCUGUCCGCUGGACGACUGCGGCCUCAGUCACGACCUGCAGGAUGGCGGGCACAACGCAGACCUUCUAGCCAGUGUGGGUCUAACCGAUACCCCUGUGACAGAGCUCCUCAGGCGACUGCAGGAACAGGUGCGCCGCCGGGCGCCCCAGCCGGCGCUCUGCAGAGCCUACGUCAUACAGGGCUGCCAGGGAUACUGCCUGCGACUACACUACUGCGAGGCUUUCCUGUAUAGUCGCUGCAGGUUCGGAGACAGGUGCUCCAAUAGUCACAGCCUGAAGGAAUCGCACAACCGGCGGGUGCUGACAUUCUUUGACUGGACGGAGGAACAAGUGCUGGAAGAGCUGAGGAAGGAAGGAGUGGGCAGGUCAGCUUCUCGGACAGCCAGAACUCGAACUCCGACAGAACGGGACGACGAGGAGGAAAGGUCCGACCGACAGGACCUCUGUGAAGGAUCGCAGCGGGGCCCCAGUGCCGAGACCCCCGUCAAAAGGAUAGAUAGCGCUAAGGAGGUCGCAAAUCAUGUGAGCGAUUCAAUUGACUUGUCGAACCGGCAUCCAAAGAGACAUUGCAAAGUGCGUCAGCAUAUAGCAAGAGCGCGCCAGCAGGCAAAGGAAGACGUCUCGAGCCAGCAGAAGGAGGCGGAGAGACAGCAGUGGAAGACGGAGAGACAGCAGUGGGAGGCAGAGAGACAGCAGUGGGAGGCGGAGAGACAGCAGUGGGAGGCGGAGAGACAGCAGUGGGAGGCGGAGAGACAGCAGUGGGAGCGAAAAGAGACGGAAUGGAAGGAAAAGGAAAGGGAUUGGAGGGAAAAGGAGCGGGAUUGGAAGGAAAAGGAGAGGGAAUUGGAGAAAAAGGAGAGGAAAUGGAAAAGCAAGGGAAAAGAAUGGAAAAAGAAGAAGGCAGAUUGGCGCCAAAAGGAAAACAAGUGGCUAAAAAAGGAAAUAAAGAACAUACGUGAGCGACAGCAGUGGCAGCAAAAGGAAACUCAAAGGGAAGCAAAGGAAAGGAAAUGGGAGGAAAAAGAAACGGAAUGGAAAAACAAGGAAGCGGAAUGGCAGAGCAAGGAGACAGAAUGGCAGCAGAGAGAAACAGAACGGCAAGAAAAGGAAAGAAAGAGAGAAAGGGAGACCCAACAAAGGGAACAAAAAACACGCGAGACAGAGGAACGAGUGCGGAAAGAAUCCGAAAAUAAACUAAGAGAAGAAAAUGAACGUGAGAGGCAAAUAUAUAAACGGGAAAAAGAAGAACAUUUGAAGGCAAUGGCAGAAAAAGAUUCGCGAGAAAAAGAGUUAAUGCAGAAUUAUGCAAAGCUGAUCAUAGAUCAAGAAGGCAACGAGAAGGCCAUGGCCACUAUUCAGCAAAUGAACGCUGGUUACCAACGGCAGAUCGCCAGUAUGCAGACUCUGGUAAAAGAGCUGAAGGAUAAAGACCAACAGCGAGAGACCAAAGUAAAAGCAGAGGAGGAGAACAAGAAAAAGAAAAUUGCAGAGCUGACAGAAAAGGUACAAAGCAGCGAGAAGAUCAUGUCCAUCACUCAGCAAAGAAACGCUGAUUAUCAACGGCAGAUCGCCAGUAUGCAGACUCUGGUAAAAGAGCUGAAGGAUAAAGACCAACAGCGAGAGACCAAAGUAAAAGCAGAGGAGGAGAACAAGAAAAAGAACAUCGCAGAGCUGACAGAAAAGGUACAAAGCAGCGAGAAGAUCAUGUCCAUCACUCAGCAAAGGAACGCUGAUUAUCAACGGCAGAUCGCCAGUAUGCAGACUCUGGUGAAAGAGCUGAAGAAUAAAGACCAACAGCGAGAGACCGAAGUAAAAGCAGAGGAGGAGAACAAGAAAAAGAAAAUUGCAGAGCUGACAGAAAAGGUACAAAGCAGCGAGGAAAUCAUGGCCAUCACUCAGCAAAGGAACGGUGAUUAUCAACGGCAGAUCGCCAGUAUGCAGACUCUGGUAAAAGAGCUGAAGGAUACAGACCAACAGCGAGAGACCGAAGUAAAAGCAGAGGAGGAGAACAAGAAAAAGAAAAUUGCAGAGCUGACAGAAAAGGUACAAAGCAGCGAGAAAAUCAUGGCCAUCACUCAGCAAAGGAACGCUGACUAUCAACGGCAGAUCGCCAGUAUGCAGACUAUGGUAAAAGAGCUGAAGGAUAAAGACCAACAGCGAGAGACCGAAGUAAAAGCAGAGGAGGAGAACAAGAAAAAGAAAAUUGCAGAGCUGACAGAAAAGGUACAAAGCAGCGAGAAAAUCAUGGCCAUCACUCAGCAAAGGAAAGGUGAUUAUCAACGGCAGAUCGCCAGUAUGCAGACUCUGGUAAAAGAGCUGAAGGAUAAAGACCAACAGCGAGAGACCAAAGUAAAAGCAGAGGAGGAGAACAAGAAAAAGAACAUUGCAGAGCUGACAGAAAAGGUACAAAACAGCGAGAAGAUCAUGUCCAUCACUCAGCAAAGGAACGCUGAUUAUCAACGGCAGAUCGAAGGGCUGACAAAACUCCGAGAGCUGGUUAGAAAGCAGCAAGACUACGUGGAAUGCAGCGUCUGCCUCGACACCUUCGUUGAGCCAGUAACCCUGGAGUGUGCCCACACAUUUUGUAAAGUCUGCAUUGAAAACACACCGAGACCUGGCGAAGCAAAGCUCUAUAACAUAUCCCCUCCCCAACGACCUCAAUGUCGCAUGUGUCCGCUAUGUCGCCAAUUGUCAAAAGUUCAGGUCCUCAGUCUGGUUCUCAAAAACAUAUCCGGCACCUUCUCUGGCGAUCUACUGCAAGGAACCGCCAGUAGACCAGCGGCGCCGGCACCAGAAGAACGGCAAUGAUACGACGAGUGUGCGAAUUCUUGCGGCAGGGCAUUUAGUGUUAUCGCGAAGAGCGGCGGAGUCUGAUAGAUGGUGUUAUGGCGCUACUUAGAAGACGAACCGCCAGUGCCCCCACAACGACUGUGCGGCGGGCAGGUGCAUCGUGUGUCGGGAGGCGUCCGACACGCCCCGGCACUUCUUCUUCCGGUGCCCGGCCCUCAUGAGCCGGCGCCUCCGAGGGUUCAGGUCAAUCUGUCCGAGCCCGGAGGCAUAGUCCGUUAUGGAAAGGUGGCGGCCCUGGCGACCGCCAUGAGAGACCUCCAGAGCCGUACGGCUACGCCGCGAGGAGCGACUGGAGGGACAGCACGACAACAACUGUGGGGAUGAAAGGGAGUCCCGCUCCGGUAUUGUGAUGCUACAGGGAUGUUCACGAAAAACUGACACAUUUUUAAACGACUUUGUGAACAAGUGAGAGCUCAUAGACACUUGAUUUGUAUACCUACCAUUCGAAAGCCUGUUGAGAAAAGUUUUGUAUGUGCAUAACUCCUUUAGGUAGCAUACCAGGAGUUUUCAAACAAAUAAGAAAACAUUAAAAUAGGGAAAUUUGACUUGGCGACGAAAUUUAGCGGAAAAACAAUGAAGCUUUCGCGGCGACGAUCUGGCACCAAGACUGAACCAGUCCACGAAUUCGUCUAAAAUUUGGCAUAUUAAUUUUUCGAGGGAUUAUUUUUUAUACUAUUGGCAUAUUGUUGGCAAAUUCCUAAGGAACGCCAAGAUUGGUGGGUAUGGAAGUGCUGUUGUCAUAAAUCAUAGCCACAGGCUGACAGUGGCUGUAGAGUGUUACCGCACCAUCUUUUAACGGCUCCCGUUAGCUGCUACAGCGGAAAUGCGCCGACACCUACACCAUUCGGUCGUUCUGGCACGUCGGGGCCACCCCACGUGCAGUAACGGUGAUCAUCGGUCUCAUACGAGAACAGGGGGGAGGGGGUAUUAUCUCGCGCAUCGCCUCUCACCCAUAGCCGGCCAUUUCUCUCUACCUCAACACCGACGUCUUUUCCUGUAAGUUCACGUGAGAGACAUGGUCUGUAUAGCAGCGGCCCAAAGGACUUCAAAACUCCUGACGAGUGCGGUGGGAGGUGUUGCAAUUCUCCAGGCACGUGCCCGUAAACGGGGGAUAAUUUCCUGUUUCGGGCUGAGUCGUGCACUGUUCCAAAAACUCGUCAUCUGCAAAAUACGCUUUAGAAACGAAAAUGAUAAGUCCCCAAAAUACCUCAAUAAAAACUUAAAAGUCCACUCUAUUUGCACAUACCAUGAUCAACGUGCUGAGGGCAAGUGUUCUCUCGUUAUUCGGAAAUAAGAUAUGUCAGUUUUUUGUGAACAUCCCUGUAUAUAUUUAUUACACGGGGUUAAGUGCCUAUAGCAGCGACGCGCUGUGAUUUUGUUAUGUAAUACGAUGCAUAGUGCUCACCAAUGUCCUCGGGCUCAAAGUUAUUUGGCACAGCCGAGCUACUGUUAUUUCGUUAUCUGUGAUGUUCAUGUAUUGUGUACAGUGUACAUUAUUUCUCGCUCGCCACGGGCAAGGGCUUGAUGGGCCCAGCCAAUCUGCUGUGAUUUCAGUAUCUGUGAUACUCAUGUAUCAUAUCCCCAAAUAUGAAUGUUUC
rnacentral:misc_RNA from 1 species